rnacentral:misc_RNA from 1 species
GAUGAAGAACGUAGCGAAAUGCGAUAAGUAAUGUGAAUUGCAGAAUUCAGUGAAUCAUCGAAUCUUUGAACGCACAUUGCGCCCGCCAGUAUUCUGGCGGGCAUGCCUGUUCGAGCGUCAUUACAACCCUCAGGCCCCCGGGCCUGGCGUUGGGGAUCGGCGGAAGCCCCCUGUGGGCACACGCCGUCCCUCAAAUACAGUGGCGGUCCCGCCGCAGCUUCCAUUGCGUAGUAGCUAACACCUCGCAACUGGAGAGCGGCGCGGCCAUGCCGUAAAACACCCAACUUCUGAAUGUUGACCUCGAAUCAGGUAGGAAUACCCGCUGAACUUAAGCAUAUCAAUAAGCGGAA